UCAGCAUUCAACCCCUGGACUGUGGUUCUGUCCCUGAGAAAACUGAUCACAUGGGUACUUAGUUGCUCUGGUCGCAGCAACCUCAUCUCUGCCUCUAGCUUUUAAAGAGCAAAGACAUCUGGAAGAAGUUUGCUUUGAGUGCCUUAGAAUAACCAACUACCCAUCCUCAAGAUUCUGCUAAACCUUCCAUGCAUCCAGACAAGGUGGCUUUUCGCAGCACUAGUUCCAUGGCAGCCUUGUAGCUCUUGGUCUAAGAAGAGGAGAAUUCUGCUCUCAUGGAGGAAAAGGCUCCAUGGCCCUGUUUGGAUUAGCUCAGAAUCCAUCACUGACCUACGGAUGAGUGGGGUAGAGUCUUCUUGUUGAGUUAAUCUGGGUGAAAAGGAUUGGGAUGGAGCCCACCUAACCUGUUAGUGAUAGGAGCACUUGUUCAUUUUGUCUAUGGACAUUGCUAUGAAUACUGCCUUGUUGAAGAGCCCUGGAGGUGAUGGAGAGUUUACAGAAACACUUCAGGUACAUGCUGCUGUGUCCUCUCCCUCUCCUGAGCCUGUGAGCUCCCACUGAGACUCUCCAUCUACAAGACCUGUCUGGAUAUCCAUAACUUAAAGUUAUUUAUGAGCUCCUAUAGCAAAUAAGGAGAAUUCUGGAAAUGUUUUGUAAAUGUUAAAGUGCUCAGUGACUGUUGGAAAUACCAUGGCAGCACUUCAUUUUGCUUAUGAGCCCUAGAACUCUAGGACCUUCAGCAGGUACCCUUGGCUUCCUUGGAUCGCUCGGAGGAAUUACUGAGGAGGAAAGCUUGAGUUUGUGAGAGCAGGAAGCUGCUGAUUGGAGGCGGUGAAAGCAGGCAUGGACGGAAAUAGACUGACGACAGCCCUUCCAGCUCUUCUGCACCCAUACAGAGAUACAGGCAGCACUGGCAAGAGUGUGUGACAAGGGACCCACUGGACAGUGGCAAACAGAUAAUUAUCACCAAGAAAUUUUUCCAAAGCAGUGCCAUGCUUCAGUGUGCCUUAAAAAAACUGUCCAUGUAAAACAGGAUCUCUUGGGGUUCAGUCCCUGCAUAGUCACUCAUUGUUGGUAUACUAGCAUCAAUUUUUCUUGCCUACAAAAUGAAAAUAUUGGUCUCUGCUACACAACUUCAUGUUUUGUAAAUUAUGUACGUGGAUUUAAAGAAUAAACU